GUAGGCUCAGAACGGUCGGAAAUCGUUCGUCGAGUGCAWUGGCAUAAGCCUGCCUGACUGCAAGACUGACAAGUCGAGCAGAGACGAAAGUCGGUCAUAGUGAUCCGGUGGUCCCGCGUGGAAGGGCCAUCGCUCAACGGAUAAAGGUACGCCGGGAUAACAGGCUGAUGACCCCAAGAGUCCAUAUCGACGGGUUGUUUGGCACCUCGAUGUCGACUCAUCGCAUCCUGGGCUGGAGCAGGUCCCAAGGGUAUGGCUGUUCGCCAUUUAAAGCGGUACGUGAGUUGGGUUCAGAACGUCGUGAGACAGUUCGGUCCCUAUCUGCCGUGGGUGUAGGAAUAUUGACAGGAUCUGUCCCUAGUACGAGAGGACCGGGAUGGACGUAUCUCUGGUGGACCUGUUGUGGCGCCAGCCGCAUAGCAGGGUAGCUAUAUACGGACGGGAUAACCGCUGAAGGCAUCUAAGCGGGAAACCCACCUGAAAACGAGUAUUCCCUAUCAGAGCCGUGGAAGACCACCACGUUGAUAGGCCGGGUGUGGAAGUGCGGCAACGCAUGCAGCUUACCGGUACUAAUAGCUCGAUCGACUUGAUCACUCCCAUUU
rnacentral:rRNA from 1 species